AAUGAACGCUGGCGGCGUGCCUAAUACAUGCAAGUCGAGCGGAGCGGGGACGGGUGAGUAAUACGUGGAUAACCUCCUAUAAGACUGGGAUAACUUCGGAAAACCUAAGCUAAACCGGUUACUUAUAGAUGGAUCCGAGCUGCAUGAGCUAGUGCGUAAGGUAACGGCUUACCAAGGCAACGAUGCAUAGCCGAUCUGAGAGGGUGAUCAGCCACACUGGAACUGAGACACGGUCCAGACUCCUACGGGAGGCAGCAGUGGGGAAUCUUCCGCAAUGGGCGAAAGCCUGAAGUAGCAACGCCGCGUGUGUGAGGAAGGUCUUCGGAUUGUAAAGCACUGUUAGUAGGGAAGCGUUACCUAAAGAGAAAGCCACGGCUAACUACGUGCCAGCAGCCGCGGUAAUAC
rnacentral:rRNA from 1 species